UCAAGUUAUUAAGGGUGCAGGGCGGAUGCCUUGGCACUAGGAGCCGAUGAAGGACGUGAUAAGCUGCGAUAAGCUUCGGGGAGUUGCACGUAAACUUUGAUCCGAAGAUUUCCGAAUGAGGAAACUCACUUAGAGUAAUGUCUAAGUAUCAUUAAGUGAAUACAUAGCUUAAUGAGGGGAACUCAGGGAACUGAAACAUCUAAGUACCUGAAGGAAGAGAAAGAAAUUCGAUUCCGUAAGUAGCGGCGAGCGAACGCGGAUUAGCCCAAACCAAUAAAGUUUUCUUUAUUGGGGUUGCGGACAUAUCAUAACGAAGAGGUAUCGUAAUUGAAGAGGUUUGGAAAGACCCACCACAGAAGGUAAUAGUCCUGUAUGUUAAACGAGAAGACUUUAGAUAUGAUCCAGAGUACCACGGGACACGUGAAACCCUGUGGGAAGCAGGAGGGACCACCCUCCAAGGCUAAAUACUACCUAGUGACCGAUAGCGUAUAGUACCGUGAGGGAAAGGUGAAAAGAACCCCGGGAGGGGAGUGAAAUAGAACCUGAAACCCUGCACUUACAAGCUGUGGAAGCACAUUUCUUGUGUGACCGCGUACUUUUUGUAGAACGGGCCAACGAGUUACGUUAAGUAGCAAGGUUAAGCACUUAAGGUGCGGAGCCGUAGCGAAAGCGAGUUUUAACUGAGCGUUCAGUUACUUGACGUAGACCCGAAACCGGGCGACCUACCCAUGAGCAGGAUGAAGCGAAAGUAAAAUUUCGUGGAGGUCCGAACCCACGAGCGUUGAAAAGCUCGGGGAUGACUUGUGGGUAGCGGUGAAAUUCCAAUCGAGCCCGGAGAUAGCUGGUUCUCCCCGAAAUAGCUUUAGGGCUAGCCUCAAGGUGAGAGAUACGGAGGUAGAGCACUGAAUGUCCUAGGGGGUAUUGCACCUACCGAAGACUAUCAAACUCCGAAUGCCGUCAUCUUAUACUUGGGAGUCAGACUGUGGGUGAUAAGAUUCAUAGUCGAAAGGGCAACAGCCCAGAUCGUCAGCUAAGGUCCCUAAAUGUAAGUUAAGUGGUAAAGGAUGUGGGAUUGCACAGACAACCAGGAUGUUGGCUUAGAAGCAGCCACUCAUUCAAAGAGUGCGUAAUAGCUCACUGGUCGAGUGAUCCUGCGCCGAAGAUUUCCGGGGCUAAAACUUACUACCGAAGCUACGGCAUCAGUAAUGAUGGGUAGGGGAGCUUCCCAUAUGGGUUGAAGCAUGACCGUAAGGACAUGUGGACAGUAUGGGAGUGAGAAUGUUGGCAUGAGUAGCGAGAUGUGGGUGAGAAUCCCACAGGCCGUAAACCCAAGGUUUCCAGGGGAAGGUUCGUCCGCCCUGGGUUAGUCGGGACCUAAGCUGAGGCCGAAAGGCGUAGGUGAUGGACAACAGGUUGAUAUUCCUGUACUACCGAUAACCGUUUGAGAGAAGGGAUGACACAGUAGGAUAAGCUAAGCACACUGUUGGUUAUGUGUGCCCAAGCAUUGAGGCAGUCAAAGUAGGCAAAUCCGCUUUGAUAAUGCUGGGAUGUGAUGGGGAGCGAAAUUUAGUAGCGAAGUAGCUGAUUUCACACUGUCAAGAAAAGUCUCUAUCGAGGUUAAAGGUACCCGUACCGCAAACCGACACAGGUGGGUGAGGAGAGUAUCCUAAGGCCAGCGAGAGAACUGUUGUUAAGGAACUCGGCAAAAUGACCCCGUAACUUAGGGAUAAGGGGUGCCACCAUCAGGUGGCCGCAGAGAAUAGGCCCAAGCGACUGUUUACCAAAAACAUAGGUUUCUGCUAAGUCGCAAGACGAUGUAUAGGAGCUGACGCCUGCCCGGUGCUGGAAGGUUAAGGGGAUCUGUUAGAGCAAUCGAAGCAGUGAACUUAAGCCCCAGUAAACGGCGGCCGUAACUAUAACGGUCCUAAGGUAGCGAAAUUCCUUGUCGGGUAAGUUCCGACCCGCACGAAAGGCGUAACGAUUUGGGCACUGUCUCAACAACAGACUCGGUGAAAUUGUAAUUCCGGUGAAGAUGCCGGAUACCUGCGACAGGACGGAAAGACCCCAUGGAGCUUUACUGUAGCUUGACAUUGGGUCUUGGUACUACAUGUACAGGAUAGGUGGGAGGCUUUGAAACCAGGACGCCAGUUUUGGCGGAGCCAUCCUUGGGAUACCACCCUUGUAGUACUGGGACUCUAACCAUAGGCCAUGAAUCUGGUCUUGGGACACUGUCAGGUGGGCAGUUUGACUGGGGCGGUCGCCUCCCAAAAGGUAACGGAGGCGCUCAAAGGUUCUCUCAGUACGGUCGGAAAU
rnacentral:rRNA from 1 species